AUAUCAGAGUUUAAAUGUAAUGUAGCACUGAAGUGUGAUCAGGUUGUCUAUGCAUUCAUUGUUUUAUUUACUGUUCAUUUUUAUGUGUGAUGCGUGGGUAUUAUAUACCCAUUACGUUACGUUAAUCAAUUAUCAUUUACAUAUAUAUUAGGCGAUAGAAUAUUCCAAUCAAGAUGAAGAAAUCGUCAAAUAACUGCAUACUAUUAAUUUUUAUCGUUAUAGUUUCGGGUAAAUAUAAUUUAAAUUUGAUUAACGGUAUAAUACCAAUGUUAGUAUUUUAUUUGAUGUUCAUAUGUAUAGAAGAAAAAAGUAAAAUUUUAAGAUAGUGAAAAUAUCCAGGCCUUUAUUAUAAAGCAUAAUGCCGAGUGAUUCUUUAUCGUUAAACACUCAUUAUUUCGAAAAGUACUGACUAUUCUUUGUGAUUUUAGAUUUUGAGUGGUGCGAAGAAGCCAAUGGUUUAACAAAGAUGUUUAUUUAUUUUUAAAGUAUAAAUUUAAAUUAAAUAUUAAAGUAUAAAUAAUUGACCCAGUCGAACAAGGAAAAAAACUUGAUUUGUGUAGUUCUAUAGCGCUGCCGAAGAUUUUAACAACGUUAUAAAACAAUGUAUAUAAUAGUUAAAAUUGCUUUUAAUGAAAAUAAGAAAAAAAAUAAAAAAUAAAAAUAAAGAACAUAAUUAGUUACACACAAUUAAAUAACUCUUUUAAUUCGAGAAAUUCGAUAAAAUAUUAAGUAUCAAUAAUAUUAUAACAUUUUCCCGGUGUAAUAUAGACUUAAGAAAUUACAAAAAAAGCAUUAUAUUUUAUGUAGGUACCCAUUUGAUAAAAUUGAUUUUGGAUUAAAUUAUAUUGGAUAUUAUAUUUUUCUCUUAUCUCAGGUUUACUUUUAUUCAAACCGGUUUUCUGUACGGAUAGACGACUAUUGAUUAUUGACAUUUGUCGUGACCUCCCAUCAUUCACAGCCAUUUAAAUUACAUUGCAUGCAAUUUAUUUGUCCAUUAUAAUACUUAACGCUAUCUAUUGACACAUUAAGCUGUUAAUAAAUAGGUUUCCAUAUUUUAUCACUGCAUGAACUAUUCGCGAUUGAAAGCAAAAAAAGUCGCUACUUGGUGUAAUUUAUUAGAACCGCUCUACCGGGGAUGAUAUACGUUUGAUUACAUUAUAUUGAAUACUGACUUCUGAGUUCCUUUGUAACAUUCUCGUUUCGUUGUAAUAAUUAUAAAUAUAGCUUUAUUUGUUGAUAUUAUGGAUAACCAUAAUUAUUGUCUUAGUUAAAUGGAUAAUAAAAAUGCAUAAAUUAAAUUCAAACUUGUAUUGCACUUACAUAAUAUCUAAACUAGAACAAAGACGAAAAAAAUAAACACCUUAGUAAAACCAAUAGCUCCAUCGCUACGCUUGGAAUCUAAAACUAGUAAUAAAUGGAUUAUUUCGGAUAAUUACUAUUAUUAUAAUGCUAUCAUCGCGCCCAUCUCCUCGUUAGCCUUAUCAUUAGUAUCGCUACCUAUAGAUCCUAUCAAUCGCGAAUCUAUAUAUACUUAGGGCCGUAUUCUCUAAUAUUAAAAAAGGCGAUUAUCUGAUUCUUAUACUGAAUUUAUAGCUGAUAACCGACCACGAUUUGUCGAUUAUCUUAUAAACUCCGUUCCAAUCAACGAUUACGUUGGUGAGAACGGGUCUUAAUCAAAGAACAAGGAUGAUACCUUGAAGACCACGGCAAUGGUCUUAGAAGACCGUGACUACGACUAUAGAGUAUAGAUAAUCUAUAGACUAUAACUAUUAUUUAUGAAUUAAGAUAUACAGAAUAUCGAACAAACGUGUGAUAAGUGAAACUCGAACUUUCUCACUUUUUGACAAGGCCACUAACAUCAUCUAGUUUACUCUUUACAAACUAUGUCAAUAUUUAUUAUAGAAUAGAUAUGCAAUUUAUUACAUAUCCUACUCCUCCAGUCUAAACUUUAAACUGGUUAAUUGAUUUAUAUAUCAAUUUUGUCUUAAAGCGUUAGCUGUCAUGCCAAACAGUGAGAACCGGGCGGACACAGAAAAACAUUGAUAAUAUCUUUCCGUUCGGUAUGAGAAUACACUUAGAGCCCGUAUUACAAUAGUGGUUUAAACUUGAUUAGGAGUUAAAACAUAGGUUAAAUGGAAAAGACCGUAUUACAAUUGACAAUUCGUGGUUUAAACCGACAUCGCCUUUUUUUAAUGAAAAUAAUAUGAAUUAUAAAAAACCUGAAUAAAGUGUAGACGAAGAAAUAUUGAUGGCAAAAUAAUAAUAAAUACUCAUAAAUAAUAUAAUAUAAUAAUGAUAAUAAUAUAUUUUUAAAAAUAUGCGAUUAUUACCGUGCAUUUUUAGUGAAUGGUAAAUGAAUAGUGAUAAUGAGUGAUAAUGUUGGUUGUUGGUUGAACGACGGGUAGUUGAGGACUCCCCUUAACAAUUUUUAACUCUAUGCUUUGGUUUUUUUUUUUUCGUAUUAUCACUUAUUAAACGUGGUGUAGUGUGUAUCUAAGGUUGUGUAAUACGAAUAAUUAAAUAGGUACUAUGCUAGAGUAAAUGAAACAAAUUAAAUAAUUGUUUUACAUCAAAUAUUUAUUGCGAUUUCUGUGUAGAUAUUUCAUCGACACGUUGUUGGUAAGUAUAUUAUUUAUAUUUAUAAUUAGAGCACGGAUUUAAAUGUAUUAAAAACUAACCAAAUAUACGCUAAACAAAUCUUAAAUAUGCAUAGUUAUAUGCACUAAAAUGUUAAUAUACCCAUAAAUAGUAAAAAAAAAUACGACAGAAAGCACACACGAACGCACGGUAAAUAUUUUAACAUAACUAAAAUGUCAAUGUUCAGUGGCCGUAAACGAUAUUUUCUUAUCUUGGUACACGUAUUUUAUUUCACCGAUUAUUUAUCUUAGGUCAUAUUUGGGAAACUGUUGUUUUGCCUACAAGUAUACCAAUUAAUUUAUUUUGAUAUUAAUCGAAACUAUAUAAAUAUAAUAUUUUUUUCCUAUAUUAUAAUAGUAUAUAUUUCAAAAAUGUCUAGAAAACAAAAAACACCGAAAUUUGUAUUAAAAAAUGAAAUAUGCAAAACUGAUUGUCGAAAUAUGCACUAAAAAGUUUAAUUUUUCAAAUCGUUAUGUCAUAAAACAAAUUUUGUGCCCACUUAGCAUAUCAUACAAUCAACUAGAAUAAAUAUGCAAAUCCGUGCUCUAUUUAUAAUAUUAUUUAAUUAUUGUAAAGAAGUAUUUUUUUCAUAAACUUAAUUAUCGUUAAAAUAUAAAACUACUUUAGUGGGCACGUUUUAUUUUUCUAAUUUUUUAAUUUUUAAAUUUUUUUUUUAAUAUGUGUUUUUAAAUGCUUGUUCUGAAAGUGAAUUAAUUUUUUUGCAGAAAUCAUUAUUAAAGAAGUUGUAGCUGUUAAAAAUUUGUCGUUAUUGGGUUUUGCUUAUAUAGUUUUUCGAGCCCAUACAAAUUUCACUGUUGCACAAUGUAUAUAUACGCAAGAUGUUUAUACUCAAAAACUGCAGUAUGUAUAGGGUUUGAACUUUAAUUUGUAGAUAGGUAAAUCCAUUACGCUAUAGUGAAAUGUGUAUGGGCGGCUUGAAAAAACUACAAAAUAUUAAAAAAAAAUAAUAAGUCAUAGAAAAAUAAGUGUUGUCCAGUCGAAAAACACGUAGGUAUUUUCAAAAAAAGUUGAAACAUUUGGGGUGCCUGGUUAAGGAUUUUUCUUUUAAUAGUUAUCUUUAAUACAUAUUAUCUAGGUAGUUAGGAUAUUUUUCAUUAGAUUUUAAUUUCAUUACUUAAUAGAACUUUUAGGAUGCUUAAUCUCCAUAAUUUUUAAAAACCUAAUUUAUUUCUGACUUUAAAUAUAUAAUAAAUGUAACAGUAAUACAUAUUAGAAAUUAAAUAAUCACUCUGAUAAUAACUGUAGAUGAUUAUAAAAUCAACCUCUGUUUAACAGUAAAAUUUCUAAAAGAACAGUAAUCACAUAGGUUAUUUCUGUUGUCGUUUUUUAGGUACACUAUUAUUUAUAUAAUUCCAUCAUAUAUGUCAAUACAAAUUGAUUACUCUUUAAUGGACUACAAAAAUUGCCCCUUUGGCAACAAGGUUCUUCCGCACUCUAAUAUGGGCCUGCUAAUGGGUCACUAUAUAUUAUACAAUUUCCUUGACCUUUCUGAAGUCCUAAUCUGUUCCAGAUUAUAUUGAAAUAAAAAUGUUUUAUUUGAAUACAUAUUUCAUUUUAAUAAUUAUAAUUUAUAAUUGAUCAUAAACUUAUAUGGUUAAAAACUAUAAAUUAUAUACUGUAUUUACAUAUUUUACUGUGACAUGAUUAAAUAUUAAAUAAUUUACUGUUUAUUAUAAAAUAUAUCUGCCAAUGUUUGUUUCAUUUUAGUAUUAUAAUUUUUAGAUAUAAUGGAUUCUUCUGAACUUAACUGUAUUUCAAAAAAUAAAUGUUUUGGAGGUUCUCAACGAGUUUAUGAACAUUUUAGGUAAUUAUUUAAACAAUUAUGAUAAUUGCUGUACGUCUGAUUACGAGAUGUUUAUUUAAUUUUUUUUAUUUUUCAGUUCUUCAUUACAAUGUAACAUGAAAUUUGCUAUUUACAUUCCUCCAGAAACAAUACGUUCUGAAAAAUUCCCUGUAUUGUUUUACUUAUCAGGUUUAACAUGCAGUGAACAAAAUGUCAUCACUAAGUCAGGAUUUCAAAAAUUUGCUGCUCAAUAUAAAAUAAUUAUUGUUGCUCCUGACACUAGCCCUAGUAAGUUGAUAUCUAAACUGAUACAUAAUUGUGUAAAAUUGUAUAUCUUUAUACACUUUAGUAUAAGUAUAAACUGAAACAAAAUUUAAUAACUCUAAAGCUUAUAGGAAUUAAAUUUAGACAUGAUAAUUAUUUUAAUAGUUUAUCAUUUUAUUUAAAAUGCGUAUAAUUGAGAUCCGACUGAAGGCUUUGUCACAUCAUAACCGUAGGACCGACCAUCGUGACUGCUCCUCAGAAUCAAUAUAAUAUCAUAAUAUAAAAUAUAUAAUGUAUUAGUGAUUUUACCUCUAACCUUAGCUCCAAAUGUUGCAUGUAUGAUGGCGUAUAUAAUAUAUAUGUAUCAUUUUUAACAGCUCCAAAUUAAACUUAAUUAUUUAUUUAUUUAUUAACACCAGUCAGCAAUUUUGUGAUAACAUUUAUGGUUUGGUUUACAAGUAACAGUUAUUUAUAAUGUAAUACUAAUAAUUCACAGUAACAACGAAAAUAGUGCAGAAACAACAAAAUACAUAUUAGGUGGUGACAUAUUACCACCAUAUAAAAAAAAAAAAUUAAUAAAUAAAAAUUAAAUUAAAUAUAAAAACAUUACAACUAGUUUUACAUUUAAAAUGAUUAAAAAUCAUUUUUUGAUUGAAAUCAAAAUUAAGGCUAUUUAAAUUACGAAGCAUUUUAUGUAAGAGGAGGUUAUUACCAUAGAUAUACUGUGGGCUGGUACUAGGAAGAUAGUGUGAUGUCUGGAGAAGACGAAAGGGAUACGAAAACUUACUUUUAUAAUAGAUCAGAAGCAUCUAUGGUGCCUCUUAAGCAUGAAGAAAUAAAUUGCACGUCAAUGUCUUAUGUAGGAUAAACGUAGUGGAAUUUCCAAUAUACUACGAAUUAAGGAGAAGUCAUGUUGAUGGGUGUGGUAAUUUAAGGAAAUGGGCUGCGUGCGUAGGAAAGAAACCUAUUUUGAACACAUUCUAGUCUAAAUUCAUCUUUAGCCAAGUAAGGAUGCCAUACUAUCACUCUAUAUUCUAAUAUUGAAUGUACUAACGUGAAAUAUAAUGUCAGGAGGCAACACAAAAGAAAAAUGUGUGGUGUUGCGCUUAAUAAAUCCCAAGACUUUUAAUAUUUUACCUACAGUUACAUUUAUGUGAUGUUCAAAGUUAAAAGAUUGAGUAUAUCAAGAUUUUUAUGGAGAAAAACAUGAUCAAGAGUGGUGCCAUUAAAAUAAUAGUUGUUAAUUAUUUUUAAAUGUGGGUAUUUUGCUUAUGGAUUCACAUAAAUCGCAGUUUUUUUCUACUAUUUAUUAAGAAUACAAAAUAAAUCAUUAUAUUAUACAUAAUAUUAGCAAAAAAAAAGCAAUAUAAAAUUUCAUAUCUGGAGUCCCUGGUGCAUAAAACAAAUAUAAAGCUUAUUUUUAUCUGUAUCCUAUAAUAAUUAGCAAAAGGUCUAAAAUCUCGCCCUGGUUAUUACUUAUAGUGUUCUGGCUAUAAUUAUUUUUUAUAAUCUUAUAUAGUUUGACUAAAUAAGGUUUUUUUUUGUUGAUGAUAUGAAUUUUUAUGGCAGAACUGAACUUUUCUUAAAAUUAAUGAACACAAACUAAACUAAUCCUGCACAAAUUUACACAUACAACCUAUUUAUUUGAAUUGAACUGAACAAAACUAUUUAAAAUAUGUUAUUAACUUAAACUAAAUAUUAAACAUUUUUCAUAAUGAGGCCUCUUUGUCCCAUCAUGCACAGGAAACAGUGUUGGUAACUGCGCUGAAUAGUUGUUGUAGAUUUUUGAAUUUCAAAAAUUAAACAGCUCAUAACAUCUAUACUAUUUUUCACGAGAGAAAGUUAUUCACGCACGCAGACUGAGCUUACGGAUCACUUGCUACCGCUCUCGUCGUUGAUGGCAGUCCGCAAAAUUACACCUGGCCUAAUAGUGGUGGGAGCUCUGGGCGAGGUGCGGCGUGGGGAUGCGUAAAAAUAACUAGUUUUUGUUGAGACUCUCCGCUGUUCUUUCGUGAAAAAUAGUAUACUUUAUUUAUGUUUAUUGUGCGAACAAAUUAUUUUUCUGAAUAUUUAUAUUCAAACUAACCAUUUUUGAACACAUUAUAAAAAUAAAUAAUAAUAAUAUUAUUUUAUUUUUGUUAAUUGCUAUUUUAUGUAAAAUACAUGUAUUAAUUUUAUAGGAAAUGUUAUUUCUAAUGAAGAUGAUUCAUGGAAUGUUGGUGCUGGUGCAUCUAUGUAUGUAGAUGCUACCCAAGAACCUUGGAAUAAGCAUUAUCAGAUGUACACCUAUAUUACCAAAGAACUAUAUGAACUAAUACAAAAUCAUUUUCCAGUAAUAAAAAAUAAAAUAUCUAUUACUGGGCACAGGUUAUUUUACAAAGUUUUUUUUGUAAAUAUAUUACAGUCAAAAUUUAAUUCAUUUUAAUUUUAUAUAGUAUGGGUGGCCACGGAGCUUUGUUAUGCACUUUACUUAAUCCAGGAAAGUAUAAAUCAGUUUCAUUAUUUGCACCAGCUUGUAGUAUUUCAAAUUCACUUACAUUACGCCCUGGGUUAACUGCAUUAAUUGGAGAUGUCGUGGAAGAUUGGCAAAAAUGGGAUCCAACUUAUUUAGUAAAAAGUUACAAUGGUCCUGAACUGGAAAUAUUAAUACAUGUGGUAUGCAUUUUAACAAUUUGAAUUAAUUUAGUUUUAUAUUGUACUUGUUUCUUUGUAGAAAAUAUAUUUACUAGAAAAAAUUCUGAACUCAAAUUGUUGGAAAUUAUUUUAAAGUGAUUAGUUAUACAUGAUUAAGUGAACACUUUUAUCUGUAUAGUAUAAACUAAUAAAUUUGAUUAAUAUUUGAAUAUAAUAUUCACAGGGUACUGAUGAUGAAUAUUUAGAAAAAGAUCUAUUUAUUCAUGAUUUUAAGAAUGCAACUGAUAAUUCUGAAAAAAUCAAGACCAACAUUUUUUACGAGGACGGCUAUGAUCAUGGAUAUUAUUUCGUAUCAACAUUUAUGGAGGAACAUAUAAAAUUCCAUUGUUUUAAAUUGGCCUCAUAGAAUAAUUGAAAAUCUAGUUUAUAUUGUAGUAAUUCAUGAACUUUUAUUGUUAUUACUAUUAUUAUUUUAAUUUUAUUUUAUAAAUUAUAAAUAGGUGAAAAAACUCUUUAACCAAAUAAAAGUGACAUCGUAAAUGGCACAAGUAAUUUAAAAUACAGUUGAUGAAAUAAUAACAAUGGAAUAUAUAUAAGUAAAUAGAACAAAAAUUAAAUUACAUUAUACAAUUAGUUAACGUGUUAUAAUAUACAUUAGACAUAAAAACUUCACGAGACAUAAAAAAAAAUCAAUACAAGAUGUUAAUUAAUUUGCUAACAUUAGAACUUAAGGAAAAUAUAAUGCUGAGCUAUAAUUAUUGGUAAAAAAAAAAAAAAAAAACAUAAAAUAAUUUAUUAGUCCUGAAGAUAUGACUAGUGUGAAAGUCAGCCAUUGAAAGUAACUCUAGAUAAUCUAUAUUUCCAUUAAGCAAGUCAAAUAAAAACAUUAAAUCAGUAAAUUUUCUUCUGAGAUUACAAGAUGUAAUACAUAUCUGAGAAGAUUGUAAAUGAUAAGAAUCCUUGGAUAUACUAAUAUUUAAUUUAUAACAGAUGGAUUCAGUAUAUUUGUAUUGAAUAUUUUCAAUAUGAUUAAUAAAAGCUGCAUAGUUAAGAGAUCAAACCAAAGAACCAAAUUCGAGCUUGGGCCUAACAAGAGAGAAAUUUAACAUUUUUAAAGUAUUUAUAUUUUUAAAAUCUUUAGUAUUUCUAUUAACGAAACCCAGAAUCCUGAAAGCAUUACUAGCUAAAAAAUUAAUAUGGGGAGGAA